GCCUAAGACCAUACCACCCUGAACGCGACUGAUCUCGGAAGCUAAGCAGGGACGAGCCUGGUUAGUACUUGGAUGGGAGACCGCCUGAGAAUACCAGGUGCUGGAGGCU
rfam:Homo sapiens chromosome 1 genomic contig HG2002_PATCH, GRC reference assembly FIX PATCH for GRCh38.